AGUGAACGCUGGCGGUAGGCCUAACACAUGCAAGUCGAACGGCAGCACAGUAAGAGCUUGCUCUUACGGGUGGCGAGUGGCGGACGGGUGAGGAAUACAUCGGAAUCUACUUUUUCGUGGGGGAUAACGUAGGGAAACUUACGCUAAUACCGCAUACGACCUACGGGUGAAAGCAGGGGAUCUUCGGACCUUGCGCGAUUGAAUGAGCCGAUGUCGGAUUAGCUAGUUGGCGGGGUAAAGGCCCACCAAGGCGGCGAUCCGUAGCUGGUCUGAGAGGAUGGUCAGCCACACUGGAACUGAGACACGGUCCAGACUCCUAGGGGAGGCAGCAGUGGGGAAUAUUGGACAAUGGGCGCAAGCCUGAUCCAGCCAUACCGCGUGGGUGAAGAAGGCCUUCGGGUUGUAAAGCCCUUUUGUUGGGAAAGAAAAGCAGCAGGUUAAUACCCCGCUGUUCUGACGGUACCCAAAGAAUAAGCACCGGCUAACUUCGUG
rnacentral:rRNA from 1 species